rnacentral:rRNA from 1 species
UCGAGCGGACAGAAGGGAGCUUGCUCCCGGAUGUUAGCGGCGGACGGGUGAGUAACACGUGGGUAACCUGCCUGUAAGACUGGGAUAACUCCGGGAAACCGGAGCUAAUACCGGAUAGUUCCUUGAACCGCAUGGUUCAAGGAUGAAAGACGGUUUCGGCUGUCACUUACAGAUGGACCCGCGGCGCAUUAGCUAGUUGGUGAGGUAACGGCUCACCAAGGCGACGAUGCGUAGCCGACCUGAGAGGGUGAUCGGCCACACUGGGACUGAGACACGGCCCAGACUCCUACGGGAGGCAGCAGUAGGGAAUCUUCCGCAAUGGACGAAAGUCUGACGGAGCAACGCCGCGUGAGUGAUGAAGGUUUUCGGAUCGUAAAGCUCUGUUGUUAGGGAAGAACAAGUGCAAGAGUAACUGCUUGCACCUUGACGGUACCUAACCAGAAAGCCACGGCUAACUACGUGCCAGCAGCCGCGGUAAUACGUAGGUGGCAAGCGUUGUCCGGAAUUAUUGGGCGUAAAGGGCUCGCAGGCGGUUUCUUAAGUCUGAUGUGAAAGCCCCCGGCUCAACCGGGGAGGGUCAUUGGAAACUGGGAAACUUGAGUGCAGAAGAGGAGAGUGGAAUUCCACGUGUAGCGGUGAAAUGCGUAGAGAUGUGGAGGAACACCAGUGGCGAAGGCGACUCUCUGGUCUGUAACUGACGCUGAGGAGCGAAAGCGUGGGGAGCGAACAGGAUUAGAUACCCUGGUAGUCCACGCCGUAAACGAUGAGUGCUAAGUG